GACGAACGCUGGCGGCGUGCCUAACACAUGCAAGUCGAACGGAAAGGCCCUGAUUUUGUGGGGUUCUCGAGUGGCGAACGGGUGAGUAACACGUGUGUAACCUGCCCCUGACUGUGGGAUAACAUCAUGAAACAGCGGCUAAUACCGGAUAGGAGCUCCUGCUGCAUAGUGGGGGUUGGAAAGAUUCGGCGGUUGGGGAUGUACUCGCGGCUUAUGAGCUUGUUGGUGGGGUAGUGGUUUACCCAGUCUCUGACGGCUAGGCGGCACGAGAGGGUGACCGGGGACAAGAGGCCUGAGGUAGGGCCCAGUCGGCAACGUUAGGCAAUGGGCGGGAGUCUUGCGCAAUGGGCGGAAGCGUGAUACGGAGGCGUCGCGUGCGUAAUGCCGGCUUACGGGUGAUGAACAGCUUUCGCCUGAGACGAAGCGUGAGUGACGGUAAUGGGUAAAGAAGCACCGGCUAACUACGUG
rnacentral:rRNA from 1 species